CACGUAGGGCGCAAGCGUUGUCCGGCAUUAUUGGGCGUAAAGAGCUCGUAGGCGGUCUGUUGCGUCCGCUGUGAAAACUCGGGGCUUAACCCCGAGCCUGCAGUGGAUACGGGCAGACUAGAGGUAGGUAGGGGAGAAUGGAAUUCCCGGUGUAGCGGUGAAAUGCGCAGAUAUCGGGAGGAACACCGGUGGUGAAGGCGGGUCUCUGGGCCGAUACUGACGCUGAGGAGCGAAAGCGUGGGGAGCGAACAGG
rnacentral:rRNA from 1 species